rnacentral:rRNA from 1 species
AGUGAACGCUGGCGGUAGGCCUAACACAUGCAAGUCGAACGGCAGCACAGUAAGAGCUUGCUCUUACGGGUGGCGAGUGGCGGACGGGUGAGGAAUACAUCGGAAUCUACUUUUUCGUGGGGGAUAACGUAGGGAAACUUACGCUAAUACCGCAUACGACCUACGGGUGAAAGCAGGGGAUCUUCGGACCUUGCGCGAUUGAAUGAGCCGAUGUCGGAUUAGCUAGUUGGCGGGGUAAAGGCCCACCAAGGCGACGAUCCGUAGCUGGUCUGAGAGGAUGAUCGCCCACACUGGAACUGGGACACGUUCCCGUCUCCUACGGGCGGCAGCAGUGGCGGAUGUUUGACACUGGUCGCAAUCCUGAUCCAGCCAUACCGAGUGGGUGAGGCAGGCCUUCGGGUUGUAAAGCCCUUUUGUUGGGAAAGAAAAGCAGUAGGUUAAUACCCCGCUGUUCUGACGGUACCCAAUGAAUAAGCACCGGCUAACUUCGUG